rnacentral:rRNA from 1 species
CCGAGAAUAUUCGACAAUGGGCGAAAGCCUGAUCGAGCGAUACCGCGUGGUGGAUGAAGCGAUUCGUCGCGUAAACAUCUUUUAUGAGGGAGGAAGUUAUUGACGUUACCUCAUGAAUAAGGGGCUCCUAACUCUGUGCCAGCAGGAGCGGUAAUACAGAGGCCCCGAGCGUUACCCGGAAUUACUGGGCGUAAAGAGUGCGUAGGUGGUCGUGUUAGUCGUUUGUUAAAUCCCUUGGCUCAACCGAGGAGAUGCGGGCGAAACGGCACGACUGGAGGGAGUGAGAGGUGAAUGGAACUCUAGGUGUAGGGGUGAAAUCCGUUGAUAUCUAGGGGAACACCAAAAGCGAAGGCAAUUCACUGGCACUUUCCUGACACUCAAGCACGAAAGCGUGGGUAGCGAACGGGAUUAGAUACCCCCGUAGUCC